ACCACUUCCGUCGUGGCGCGACCGGGUGGUCGGCGUUUAACGCGGCCGACACGUUCCGCGCCUCCUUCUUCUCGCAAAUUUUCGAAAUGCGUUACAAGUCGCAGGAAACGUAGCCUGGCCGUCACCAGACCCUUGAUAACAGAGAGCGGACACGGGCCGAAUCGCCAAUGGACAGCCUGGGCCCGUUGCAAAUGCAAUGGAGCAUGUGGAACCAGAAACGCUGCUAGUUGGACGACAGCAAAAGCAAAGGAAUUGCUCGUUUCCAGAAUCUUCUGCAACACCUUGUUUUCUCGUGAAAAUUUUACACGUUUUUUAUUUUUGUAGAAAAAUUUGUAUGGAAAUUUUAUAUUUCUAUGUGUCUAUUUUACAUAUUUUUGUUUAUUUCUAUUUUUCUGAUUACGUUCGUAAAAAUAUAGAUUUUUAUGAACAGUCGCGAGUUACUUUUUGCUUGUGCAAUUUUUGGAAAAAUUUUAAUUUCAUUUUGUUGCGAUUAUUCCGAGCGAAGCUUGUGAUAGGAUAACGUGACUCUGCUACACUGAUUUUAUUUGACAUUUUGUUGCUGAUGAUUCACGGUUACGAGCUGGAUGGAUGGAGGGAGUCACGCAAUUAGCAAUUAGGACGAGCCCUGUCUCCUGCUUCACGCGGAUAAAAAACACUGGCCGAGGAAAGAGAUAAAUGGUCUACUAUCUUGUCCAACGAUACCCGACAAAUUUCGUGGCUGUCAUUCGGGAUAACAUCGAAAGGAAUCAGGGCACUGUGACUGGAUCGGUCG